CCUACGGGGUGCAGCAGUGGGGAAUAUUGCACAAUGGGGGAAACCCUGAUGCAGCGAAGCCGCGUGAGUGAAGAAGUUUUUCGGUAUGUAAAGCCCUAUCAGCAGGGGAGAAAAUGCCGGUACCUGAUUACUAAGCCCCGGCUCACUACAUUCCAGCAGCCGCGGUACUACGUAGGGAGCAAGGGUAAUCCGGAUUAUCUGGGUGUCAAGGGAUCGUAGACGGCAGCACAAGUCUGGAGUGAAAUGCCGGGGCUUCAACCCGGAACUGCUUUUGAAACUGUGCAGCUAGAGUGCAGGAGAGGUAAGUGGAAUUCCUAGUGUAGCGGUGAAAUGCGUAGAUAUUAGGAGGAACACCAGUGGCGAAGGCGGCUUACUGGACUGUAACUGACGUUGAGGCUCGAAAGCGUGGGUAGCAAACAGGAUUAGAUACCCCUGUAGUC
rnacentral:rRNA from 1 species